CGGUGCUGCUUUCUGGUAAGCAUUCAACACGCCAAUCAUGCCUGUAUAUAGUCGUGUACGAUCGUUACUGACUGAAAUUGUAUAGGCAAACCAUUGCUGGUGAGCAUGGUCUCGAUGGAUCCGGCCAGUGAGUAAAUCCGCAAGAGUCGAAGUAGGGCUCGAGGACUCGGUUAUUGACGUGAUGAUAGCUAUACCGGAUCUUCUGACCUCCAAUUGGAGCGCAUGAACGUCUACUUCAACGAGGUUGGCACAACCAAAACCCUUUCUCUUCAGCAGAAUACUAACUCAUUGGAGGCACAGGCCUCUAGCAAAAAAUACGUUCCUCGUGCCGUGCUUGUUGAUCUCGAGCCCGCUGCGCUCGAUGCUGUCCGUGCCGGUCCUUUCGGCCAACUCUUCCGUCCCGACAACGUCGUCUUCGGUCAGUCUGGUGCCGGAAACAACUGGGCCAAGGGUCACU
rnacentral:misc_RNA from 1 species